rnacentral:rRNA from 1 species
GANGAUUUUAUAUCUUGAAACUGCGAACGGCUCAUUAAAUCAGUUAUAAUCUACUUGAUUGUAAAAUCUACAUGGAUAACUGUAGUAAUUCUAGAGCUAAUACAUGCAAAAAAUCCUGACUGUUAUGGAAAGGAUGUAUUUAUUAGGUACAAAAUCAAUGCUGGCACUUGUGUCAGGUUUAUUGAUGAUUCAUAAUAACUAAACGAAGCGCACGACCUUGCGUUGGCGCUGAUACAAACGAGUUUCUGCCCUAUCAACUUUCGAUGGUAGUAUAGAGGACUACCAUGGUUUCAACGGGUAACGGGGNA